GAUGAACGCUGGCGGCGUGCCUAAUACAUGCAAGUCGAGCGAACAGACGAGGAGCUUGCUCCUCUGACGUUAGCGGCGGACGGGUGAGUAACACGUGGAUAACCUACCUAUAAGACUGGGAUAACUUCGGGAAACCGGAGCUAAUACCGGAUAAUAUAUUGAACCGCAUGGUUCAAUAGUGAAAGACGGUUUUGCUGUCACUUAUAGAUGGAUCCGCGCCGCAUUAGCUAGUUGGUAAGGUAACGGCUUACCAAGGCGACGAUGCGUAGCCGACCUGAGAGGGUGAUCGGCCACACUGGAACUGAGAAACGGUCCAGACUCCUACGGGAUGCAGCAGUAGGGAAUCUUCCGCAAUGGGCGAAAGCCUGACGAAGCAACGCCGCGUGAGUGAUGAAGUUCUUCGGAUCGUAAAACUCUGUUAUUAGGGAAGAACAAAUGUGUAAGUAACUAUGCACGUCUUGACGGUACCUAAUCAGAAAGCCACGGCUAACUACGUG
rnacentral:rRNA from 1 species